AAUACUUUUUAGCUCACCUGGCCCAAAGGGCCAAGUGAGCUUUUCCUAUCACUUUGCGUCCGUCGUCGUCCGUCGUCGUUAACUUUUACAAAAAUCUUCUCCUCUGAAACUACUGGGCCAAAUUUAACCAAACUUGGCCACAAUCAUCAUUUGGGUAUCUAGUUUUAAAAAUGUGUCCGGUGACCCAGCCAACCAACCAAGAUGGCCGCCAUGGCUAAAAAUAGAACAUAGGGGUAAAAAGCAGUUUUUGGCUUAGAACGCAAAAACCAAAGCAUUUAGAGCAAAUCUGACAUAGGUAAAAUUGUUUAUCAGGUCAAGAUCUAUCUGCCCUGAAAUUUUCAGAUGAAUCGG
rnacentral:lncRNA from 1 species